rnacentral:misc_RNA from 1 species
GUCUCUCUGGAUCUAGACUUUUAGGACUUUAGUCCUAGGCAGGUCCACCGAAUGCAGAUUUCUCCAAGUUUGGAGGACAGUGAGGAGCGGUAAAGCAGCGAACACCAAGUAAAGACAAAGCUGGCUCCGAUUCGGGGAUCGUUAAACACGCGAGUGGGUCAAGGACGCGGGCUGAACUUGCUUCUUCGACGUGCGCCAGCCGAGGAUAGUCGUUAGCGGGAGGAAAGUGGAAAUGCUCGCUUUCCUAUCGACUGACGGCUGUUUUCCAAGAGUUUCCAAGAACCAGGGACAAGAUUGGCGACCGAAGGACUGUAUAUCCGUUCACCGUUCGAACACACGGAACGGAAUGAUGAAACAACGAAUACCUUAGAAUCGAAAAUCUUGCGGCAAUUAUUCGAAAAGGUAUCGAACGAUUCGCUCGGAGGCAAAGAAAACGAGACACGCGGCAAUAAAUUGGACCUUCUGGAAAGCCAAGCGAAAAGGUGCACCGAUAACUCAAACCUAACUCUCCCUCGGUCGAUUCAAAAGCCAAGAUGCUCGUCUACCGAGCUUCUCCAGGUACAUUAAUCACGAGAUCCCCAGGAACAGCGGACGAAAGAGCCGAAAGUCACGGAUGACCUCCUGACACUCUGCUCUGGACACGCGAGAUACCGAUUUCUCGGACAGCGAGCGUGGGCGACGAUUCUCGCGAAGCGAAACGACAAACGCAUCGGGAUAAAAGGGCAAAGAGGGAAAAGCAGAGGACGAGGACGAAACGAAAAUAGACGAAAGGAAAGGAGAAGAAGGUAGCUCGCGUUCGUUGUAAAAAGACGCGAAGCGCGGAAGAAACGGGCAAUCUGGAAAUGUACCGCGGCAUAUUCUGACGUUGAUUGAAAGUAGUUUGUCAACGGCGGCCUUCCAUCAGACAGAUUGCUCGAAUUUCCGCGGCGGUAUCGUUUUUAAUACCGUGAAAUCUCGGCGUCCCGACGGCACGGCGACCUAUUAGUCGAAACUACGCGAUGACGGUUACAAGGGUAGAAGAAACAGGGACUUUUGACCGAUGAACGAGUGGCACGCUCGAGGACCAACGUUGGAAGUAACGCGGUUGACGAGUGCAGAGAGGCUUUUUCGGUGGGAAACGUGACAAGAGGAACGCCGUGUUAAUCGGCGAGGCUCGAGCAGUAAAAGUUUGAAAAAGAUAAAAGGAAUUGUACGAACGAUUUUCGAGUAAAGAUUCGAACGAAAUAGGUUCCACGAUGAUCCCUGUGACAGUUGUAAAGGGAUAGCAGAGAACGUGGUUUCCUUCUUUUCAAGGGUAGAG